rnacentral:lncRNA from 1 species
CUCUCUCUCUCUCUCUCUCUCUCUCUAGAGCAAUGGAUUCUCUCUCUUGAUGGGGAUGGGGCUGCCCUCCUUGGGAAGGAGGUGUGAAUCCGAUGACGUGGGAUGAGAUACGCUGAUCCCAGAGCGUGUGUGCUUGUCGUGUCUGUGGAAUGGAGCGUGGGAUGCGAUCUGCCUCACUCCAGCUCACUAGCUAGGCCGCGUAUCUUUAUCGUCUAAAUUAAUGGGAAUUUAUUAUUCUCCUAUAAAUUAAUUAAUCGGAUUUUGUUUGGGAGAGGCCCAAUAAAGGCCCGUGAUGGUGGAAUGGGCCGAUGGUGAAGGAUCGUACCCCAGGCCGAUAAAAAGGAAGAACCCUAAUCCCUGCAACGGCACGCUACUUGAUCUUAUCUGAGCGGCGGAGGUGGGGCGCUCGUCCGGCGGUGGAGCGGCGCCGGCGGCCGAGCAGGGGCGCUGCCCCCGUGCGGUGGCUCCGUGUGCCGCCGCCCGGAGGCUGGCGGCGCCGCUGCGGAGCUCCGGCGUCGGGCCGUUUCUUGCCGGAGAGGAUGCCCGCCCUCGCCUGCGAUGAAGACUGCCCGCGGGCGGAGCCCUCAUCUGCAGGGCCGUGACGUCCGCGCGGGCUCCUCCCCCAUCCCCAACCUAAUCGAUCGCAGAUUUUCAGAGUUUUCGCAGAUUUCGAUUCGAUCCUGCGUUGCGUUGCCUGUGGACCAUUUUCCGUUCCGGUUUUUCCUCCCCGUUUCGAUCGCCGCGUACCAGGUCCAUCCCUGCCCUAGCCGCCUAUUUAGGCAUCGCAGGGACGAUCUCUUCGAUCGCGGUUGUCGAUCAAUGCGCUGAAUGCCUGCACCAUUCAUCCGGUUCUUAUUUUGAUUCCGAUUUCUCGUCGUCGAUCGUCUCCUCUGUUCUCAUCCGAGGGGCCGAUCUCUUGAUCUCCAUUUUCAUGAGAGGAAGGGGCGGAGCCGCUCCAUUCCACUACGCUCGUUCUUCUCCUGUUUUUCCUCGUGCGUCAGGAGGCAAGCGAAGAAGAUUCCCAGGCUUUCUCUGCCAGAGAGCUCCCCGGUAACAGAAGAUCGCUCUUCCGAACCCUCGACGGCGUCUUUUUCUCUCUCAAGACCAGAAACGAAGCUGCAGCUGCGCUCCGGUAUGAGAAAUCUGUCGGCCAUUCCAAGAUUUUCACUGCCGUCAUCUCCUGCUGCUACCGAAGGGAGGAGCGGAUUACAGAUGCCCCUCCACCUCCCCUUCCUCCUGCUGCUCUCAGUUUCUCCGAUCACAGAGCUCUCUAGAUUUCUCUGCGCCACGUUGAAUCUAGUACAUUUGCAAGAAAAAAUCAAGCGAAUAUUAGAUUAUUUUCUCUCUUUUCUUGGUUUAAUUCUUCAACAAAUGGCGCAUUUAUUGAUGUUCUUAUCAUUCUGCAUUUAACGUGUGAAACAUGGUCAAGACCCAGUUCAAUCUGCAUUUAAAGCACAAUCGUAGGUAAAUGGUUCAUAAGUAUUUCAUGGGCUGCUUAUAUGAAUUUGAUAUGAAGACAUUAUUUUCUGAGUUUCAUGAGAAGAUCAUACAUGGCCAACUUUGGGGAAAAUUAUUAUAUGUUAUUUCAGAUAAAUGUUGGCCUUUUUAGUGACGGGCGUGCAGAUUUGUCAUUUUUUUGGUUACACAACAGCACGGAAAAUAAAAAUUGAAUGAGAUUAAACAAGUAAAAGAGUAAUCGAAUUUAAAUUAUUGUUAUGACACCAAUAAGUUAUUCAAAUAUUACAGUUUCAAUGACCCAACAGCAGGUUGAAUUAUAAAUAAUUUAUUUACUUGGUAACCCACGUCGUUAAAAUUCUGCUUAACAUGAGAUUAUCUGAACAAUACAUUAUAUAUUUAUUUAAAGUGAAAUCCAGAAUUAAAAUGUGGUACAUAAUCGGCACAAAUCAGUUCCAUAAUUUACAUAAUUAUAAUACUAUCAAACGAUGCGGUAUAUAUUUAUUUAUUUAAGAUGAAUCUAGUGUAUGUGGAGCAUUGUCUGUAGAAUAAAAUUCAUAAUUAAGAUAAUUAAAAUAAUAUAAAAACGAUACCGUAUAUACUUGUUUAUUUGAAAUGAAUCUAGUGUGUUGGGAACAUUGUC